rnacentral:lncRNA from 1 species
GCAAAAGUUCAGGUAGGAGUGUUCUCUGCCACCAUGCCCCCAGAGGCCCUUGAGAUUACCAGGAAGUUCAUGAACAAACCUGUGAGGAUUCUUGUGAAGCGUGAUGAACUCACAUUGGAAGGUAUAAGGCAGUUUUACGUGAAUGUUGAGAAGGAGGAAUGGAAGCUGGAGACACUGUGUGAUCUCUAUGAGACAUUAGCGAUCACACAAAGUGUGAUAUUUGUGAACACCCGAAGGAAGGUUGACUGGCUG